ACGGUGCUGAAGCAACAAAUGCCCUGCUUCCAGGAAAAGCCUCUAAGCAUCAGGUAACAUCAAAUCGUACCCCAAACCGACACAGGUGGUCAGGUAGAGAAUACCAAGGCGCUUGAGAGAACUCGGGUGAAGGAACUAGGCAAAAUGGUGCCGUAACUUCGGGAGAAGGCACGCUGACACGUAGGUGAAGUGAUUUACUCAUGGAGCUGAAGUCAGUCGAAGAUACCAGCUGGCUGCAACUGUUUAUUAAAAACACAGCACUGUGCAAACACGAAAGUGGACGUAUACGGUGUGACGCCUGCCCGGUGCCGGAAGGUUAAUUGAUGGGGUCAGCGCAAGCGAAGCUCCUGAUCGAAGCCCCGGUAAACGGCGGCCGUAACUAUAACGGUCCUAAGGUAGCGAAAUUCCUUGUCGGGUAAGUUCCGACCUGCACGAAUGGCGUAAUGAUGGCCAGGCUGUCUCCACCCGAGACUCAGUGAAAUUGAACUCGCUGUGAAGAUGCAGUGUACCCGCGGCAAGACGGAAAGACCCCGUGAACCUUUACUAUAGCUUGACACUGAACAUUGAGCCUUGAUGUGUAGGAUAGGUGGGAGGCUUUGAAGUGUGGACGCCAGUCUGCAUGGAGCCGACCUUGAAAUACCACCCUUUAAUGUUUGAUGUUCUAACGUGGACCCGUGAUCCGGGUUGCGGACAGUGUCUGGUGGGUAGUUUGACUGGGGCGGUCUCCUCCUAAAGAGUAACGGAGGAGCACGAAGGUUGGCUAAUCCUGGUCGGACAUCAGGAGGUUAGUGCAAUGGCAUAAGCCAGCUUGACUGCGAGCGUGACGGCGCGAGCAGGUGCGAAAGCAGGUCAUAGUGAUCCGGUGGUUCUGAAUGGAAGGGCCAUCGCUCAACGGAUAAAAGGUACUCCGGGGAUAACAGGCUGAUACCGCCCAAGAGUUCAUAUCGACGGCGGUGUUUGGCACCUCGAUGUCGGCUCAUCACAUCCUGGGGCUGAAGUAGGUCCCAAGGGUAUGGCUGUUCGCCAUUUAAAGUGGUACGCGAGCUGGGUUUAGAACGUCGUGAGACAGUUCGGUCCCUAUCUGCCGUGGGCGCUGGAGAACUGAGGGGGGCUGCUCCUAGUACGAGAGGACCGGAGUGGACGCAUCACUGGUGUUCGGGUUGUCAUGCCAAUGGCACUGCCCGGUAGCUAAAUGCGGAAGAGAUAAGUGCUGAAAGCAUCUAAGCACGAAACUUGCCCCGAGAUGAGUUCUCCCUGAGACUUUAAGUCUCCUGAAGGAACGUUGAAGACGACGACGUUGAUAGGCCGGGUGUGUAAGCGCAGCGAUGCGUUGAGCUAACCGGUACUAAUGAACCGUGAGGCUUAACCUUACA
rnacentral:rRNA from 1 species